rnacentral:rRNA from 1 species
CGAACGCUGGCGGCGCGCCUAAUACAUGCAAGUCGAGCGAGAAGACGUAGCAAUACGUUUGUAAAGCGGCGAACGGGUGAGGAACACAUGGGUAACCUACCCUAGAGUGGGGAAUAACUAGCCGAAAGGUUAGCUAAUACCGCGUACGCUCCUUGGACUUCGGUACAGGGAGGAAAGCGAUACCGUGGGUAUCGCGCUCUUGGAUGGGCUCAUGUCCUAUCAGCUUGUUGGUGAGGUAACGGCUCACCAAGGCUUCGACGGGUAGCUGGUCUGAGAGGACGAUCAGCCACACUGGCACUGCGACACGGGCCAGACUCCUACGGGAGGCAGCAGUAAGGAAUAUUGCGCAAUGGGCGAAAGCCUGACGCAGCGACGCCGCGUGGGGGAUGAAGGUCUUCGGAUUGUAAACCCCUUUCGGGAGGGAAGAUGGAACGAGCAAUCGUUCGGACGGUACCUCCA